rnacentral:snRNA from 1 species
AAAAAUAUGGAAUGCUUCACUAAUUUGUGUGUCAUCCUUGUGCAGGGGCCAUGCUAAUCUUCCCUGUAUCAUUCCAAUUUUAGUGUAUGUGCUGCUGAAGUGAGCAC